UCCAGACUCCUACGGGAGGCAGCAGUGGGGAAUAUUGCACAAUGGGGGAAACCCUGAUGCAGCGACGCCACGUGAAGGAUGAAGUAUUUCGGUAUGUAAACUUCUAUCAGCAGGGAAGAAAAUGACGGUACCUGACUAAGAAGCCCCGGCUAACUACGUGCCAGCAGCCGCGGUAAUACGUAGGGGGCAAGCGUUAUCCGGAUUUACUGGGUGUAAAGGGAGCGUAGACGGCAUGGCAAGUCUGAUGUGAAAACCCGGGGCUCAACCCCGGGACUGCUCUUGGAACUGCGCGGCUGGAGUGCAGGAGGGGCAGGCGGAAUUCCUGGUGUAGCGGUGAAAUGCGUAGAUAUCAGGAGGAACACCGGUGGCGAAGGCGGCCUGCUGGACUGCGACUGACGUUGAGGCCCGAAAGCGUGGGGAGCAAACAGGAUUAGAUACCCCCGUAACG
rnacentral:rRNA from 1 species